UGGCACUGGAAACUAUACCUGCAUGUAUGGAAAUCAGAAUCCAAGAGAUGUGAAAAACAUCAGCCAUGGUCCUCCGAUUUACCUGAAUGUACAAGUGAAUAGGAGUGAUACUGGAAACUACACCUGUGUGUAUGGAAAAGAGACGAUUGUAAACUCAGCAAACAACAAACGCAGUCGCCCAGUCUACCUUGAUGUGACAGAAUGCUUGACCAGUCCAACCACAUCCUGCAAGACCCAAUAAAACAAUUCAACAGGC